rnacentral:rRNA from 1 species
AGAGCGAACGCUGGCGGCAGGCUUAACACAUGCAAGUCGAGCGGGCGUAGCAAUACGUCAGCGGCAGACGGGUGAGUAACGCGUGGGAACGUACCUUUUGGUUCGGAACAACACAGGGAAACUUGUGCUAAUACCGGAUAAGCCCUUACGGGGAAAGAUUUAUCGCCGAAAGAUCGGCCCGCGUCUGAUUAGCUAGUUGGUGAGGUAAUGGCUCACCAAGGCGACGAUCAGUAGCUGGUCUGAGAGGAUGAUCAGCCACAUUGGGACUGAGACACGGCCCAAACUCCUACGGGAGGCAGCAGUGGGGAAUAUUGGACAAUGGGCGCAAGCCUGAUCCAGCCAUGCCGCGUGAGUGAUGAAGGCCCGUAGGGUUGUAAAGCUCUUUUGUGCGGAAGAUAAUGACGGUACCGCAAGAAUAACGCCCGGACUAACUUCGUGCCAGCAGCCGC